GAUGAACGCUGGCGGCGUGCCUAACACAUGCAAGUAGAACGAGUUGCGAACGGGUGAGUAACGCGUUGUAACCCGCCUCAUAGCGGGGGAUAACUAUUUGAAACGAUAGCUAAUUCCCCCUUCUGUUACAUGGACCUUCGUUGUAUUAGCUAGUUGGUGGGGUAAAGGCUCACCAAGGCGACGAUACAUAGCCGACCUGAGAGGGGGAGCGGCCAAAAUGGGACGUAGACACGGUCCAGAAUCCUACGGGAGGCAGCAGGGGGGAAUAUUGCACAAUGGGCGCAAGCCUGAUGCAGCCAUGCCGCGUGUAUGAAGAAGGCCUUCGGGGUGUAAAGUACUUUCAGCGGGGAGGCGUUACCCGCAGAAGAAGCACCGGCUAACUCCGUGCCAGCAGCCGCGGUAAUUC
rnacentral:rRNA from 1 species